rnacentral:rRNA from 1 species
AAAAAAACAGUAGGGAAAGUUCAAAGAGGAGUAGUCGCUACUCAGACCGUGGGACGACGACCGUGGGAUCGGAUCGGCGGCGAUGGCGGCGGCGGCGCGGGAUGGGGAAGCGAGGCGGGCGCACGCGGCGAUGGUGGGGUCGCAGUUCAUCAACGCGGGGUACCACGUCAUCGCGAAGCAGGCGCUCAACGUCGGCGUCAACCGCGUUGUCUUCUGCGUCUACCGCGACCUCCUCGCGCUCUGCGUGCUUGCUCCCAUCGCCUUCUUCCGCCACCGCGGCUCGCCCGCGCAGGCUCGUCCGCCGCCCGUCACGCGUCGCCUCCUUACCUCCUUCUUCUUCCUCGGGCUCACGGGCAUCUUUGGCAACCAGCUGCUGUUCUUGUUCGGCCUCGGCUACACCAAUCCGACAUACGCCGCCGCCAUUCAGCCAUCAAUUCCCGUCUUCACUUUCAUCUUGGCCCUCAUCAUGGGGACUGAAACGGCGAGCUUGGUCACACACGAGGGCCGUGCCAAGGUUGGUGGCACAAUCGUCUGUGUGCUUGGUGCUGUUCUCAUGGUGUUGUACAGGGGGGCAGCUGUGUUUGGUAGCAGCGAUCUAGAUCUUGAUGUUCCUCGUAAUGUCGUCAUCACUGAGAUGUUGCAACCUGAGCCAGGAUCAUCUUGGUUCAUUGCAUAUGGGCUGGAAAAGUGGCAUAUCGGAGUGCUAUGUUUAAUAGGGAACUGCCUCUGUAUGGCAACUUAUCUUGCUUUGCAGGCUCCAAUUUUGGUGAAGUACCCUUGCAGUUUGUCAUUGACAGCUUACUCAUACUUUUUUGGAGCUCUUUUAAUGCUUAUUUCCGGAGUUUUUUCAACAACCAGUAAAGAAGAUUGGACUUUGACUGCAUCUGAGUUUGCGGCUGUUGUAUAUGCUGGAGUUGUUUCAUCUGCUCUUAAUACUGGUUUAUUGACAUGGUCCAACAAAAUUCUGGGCCCAGCUAUGGUGGCACUAUAUAUGCCUCUCCAGCCAGUGCUCUCUGCUCUCUUGUCAGUGCUCUUUCUGGGCAGUCCAAUUUAUUUCGGAAGUAUUAUUGGAGGGUUUCUAAUCAUCUCUGGUUUAUACAUUGUCACCUGGGCACGACAUCGAGAAAAGUUGACUGCCACUGGAGUACCUUAUGUAAAAUGCGCAUCGGAGCCAUGUGACAGUGCUUCUCAAGUCAUAAAGGGCGGUAACUUGAGCCCCAGGCCCUUUAUAUCCCUUUCCAGGCUGUGGAAUGUGCCACAUGAAUCUUGAGAAGCUGGUGUUUUAUGCAACUUAUGCUAGGUAUCUCACUAUCUCCUUUGAUGAGUAAAAAUACAUAAUGCAUUAGAUGUUGGGAAGAGAAGUGCUGCAGAGAAGAUUGUACUGACGAUUGGUAAUGAUGUUGGCAUCUGUGUCGGCUGCAGAAAAUCAUACUCUCAGACCUUCCAUAGGAGCAGUUAGGUUAAUUUAGGCAAAAGAGAAGCCAUGCUCAUUCUGCUUUUUCAGACUAACAACAUUGAGGAUGCUGAGUUGAUGAUUCUAUUACCAAAUGCAAGGUAGCACCACCGACUUUGUGAAAUACAAUAGUAUGUAUAUCCCGUGAAAUCCCUACAUACAUACAUAUGUAUAAACUCUGUAGCCAGUGAGGUCAUGUGUGUAGAACUUUGAGAGAAAUGUUUUACUCUCUUACAUCUGUUAAGUUCUUGUAGUUCAUGCCUUGUUUCAUACUACUACUCGAUGAGUUAGCAAUUCUGCAGGCUGGACGUGUGUUGCAAGUAUUUUCCAGGCUGUUUUUUUGUACUGCAGGUAUGUUUUUCACCAACAAUUCUUUCUUGUAAACAUGUAAAUGCUACACAUGAGAUGACCUAUUUCUCCUAUGUGUAUGUCAUGGGAUCCUAUACAUGACCUACCCAUGCACCACUCUAUUGGUCUACUAUUAUACAUCGUGGCGCGCAAUCUAUGGCGCGGAAACAUCGAACGUGUUGGCGUGUCUGAAUCUGAUGAUCAUUGGUGCUGUGACCGGAGCUCGGCCUGAGUGACGAAUAGGCCGUGGAAGCCGUAGGGGACGCGGGAGGGAAGCUGCACCUCGGCGACGAUGUCCAGGUCGGGCGACUGCGCGUCCAUCACCACGAACCUGUUGUCGCCGGUGCCCUCGUCGUGCACGUAGCACACCACGUAGCCGUCGUCCUCGUCGCCGUUCCCCUCGACGUCAUCAGGGACGAAAAACGGCUCCCCGGCGAAGCACCCCGGCCCGAAGUCCCGGCGCGCCACGGUGCAGUCGCCGUGGCCAGCGCGGUCGAAGUCGAGCUUGGCCACCCCGCCGAUCUUGGGCAUGGGGUCGCCAACACCGAAGUAGCCGUAGCGGUUGCGGCGGCCGAGGCAGCUCGGGUUGAUCACCCCGAAGUCGAGGUUCGCCGCCGCGAGCGGCGUGCGUGUGACGUUGCCGGUGCGGAGGUUGAUGCGCACCAGCUCCACGGAGGCGUGGAUCAGCUCCAUGCGCUCCAGCGUGUGCUCGAUGGACAGGAUGUUGGGUGCCACCAUCACGAUCUCGUCGCCGCCGGCCUCCUCCCACGCGUUCACCGAGUGCAUCAUGUUGAACCCCGGCACCUCGAACCACCGCAUCUCCGACUCGUCCGCGGCGUACUUGGGGAUCACGCCGAGGCGAGGCACCAUGCCGGGGUCCGCCCCGACGGGCGAGCCGCCGCCCACCACCAUGCCCAUGGGGUUCAUCACGAUUUGUAUCUCCGGGAAUAUCGCAUAAUGCUCCGUCACGGCGAAGUCGUGCAGGAAAGACGGUUGCUUCACGGAGAAGAUGGGCACGUCGGCGCCCUUGUUCCCUGCAGGGUCGAACCGGAAAUAGGUGACGAACGGCGGCAUGGGGCCGUAGCGGAACGCGAAGAGCUCGCCGGUGAUGGGGUCCUUCUUGGGGUGCGCGGUCAUGCCCAUGCUGAGGCGGCCACCGAAGUCGCACCUGCCGAGCGUGGUCACCUCACCGGUGGCCGGGUCGACGCGCACGGCGUACGGGAGGUCCGACUCGCCGAGUGCGUAGAGGCGGCCGCCGAAGACGGCGAGGCUGGUGUUGGCGAGCCCCACGCCCUCCAUCGGGUUCAUCUGGCCUGUCAGCACCCUGGCCGCCGUGACGGCGCCGCGCGCCAUCCCGGCCAGGCCGUGGAAGCCGGAGAAGACGUUGGGCAAGACCGGCUCGCCCGCGUUGCGCUCCACGAUGUACUUGUACGUCUGCACGUAGCGGGAGCAGAGGACGGGGUCGGAGUCGGGCGCCGUCGGGAGGAGCAGGGAGUGCAGCAUGCCGUCGCCGUCGAAGAGGUGGUGCGGCCCGCGCGGGAGAUGCUGCGGGUUGGGCCCGUUGCGGAUGUAGGCGCCGCCGGCGAGGCAGCGCGGGAUGACGCCGCGCACCACGGGGCAGGGCGUGGGCGGCAGCUCGUCCACGGGCGCGAAGUUGGCGGACAGCACGUGCCGCGGGUCCACCGACGGACGCAGCACCGGCGGGUCGACGAACGUGUUGAUCGCCUCCUCCAGCGCGUUGCAGAACGCCGCCUGUAGCGAAGUGACGGGCCGGCGGCGAGGCCUGGACGACCGAGCCGCCUGGCGCGGCGCAUCGGAUGCCCUGCUCGUUCUCGCGGUAGCAACUCGUGUACCAGUUGCAUUGUUCACGGACGUGUCGACCAGGUGCUCUUCCGUUUCUUGUUGCUCGACCGGCUUGGGCGGCGAGGUGAGGACGGUGGCGGUGGCGGCAGCCCACGGCGGCGGGGGCGACGUGCCCUUCCUCCUUCUGUAGCUGGGGUUCGGAGCAGCAGCAGAAGAGGCAGCGGGGGAGAUGUAGGAGAGCCUCCUCGAUCUCGCAGCAUGAGCAGCAUUGGCUUUGGCAGGGUAGAGAUCAGGCAUGCUGAAGUUGGAGGUGACAAGUGCUCCCUCCAUUUUCUGCAAUCUGCAGAUCAAUGGCUCUUUGGAUUGUUAGUGGAUGAGUAGCAAUUUCUUUGUUGGAACUUGGAACCCAGGUGAGUAGCAGCAAACGCUGAUACCAGUUCGCAGGCUACUGCCUUUAUGCUGCUUGUAUGGCCUGGCUAUAUAUAGCCUCAGUAAAAGGAAAACUUACCUGGUGGAAAUGUU